rnacentral:lncRNA from 1 species
ACCUGACUUGUUGGUUGUUACCCUGUACUCUCCCAAGAGCUUGCUACAGUGCUUUGCACACAGUAAGGGCUCAAUAAAUACGAUUGAACGAAUGAAUGCAGCGCACUCUACUAAGUGCUCGGGAGAGUACAGUAUAACAGAGUGCGUAGACACGUUCCCUGCCCACGGUGAGCUUACCGUCUAGAGCUGGCUCCUCAUUCGUCUGCUGUCUUCUCUCACUACAGCCCAGCUCUCUCCUCCACCCAUCGCUCGGAGUCUCUUGCCUCUGACCCCCAUCAUCGCCUCCCCGUCUAGUCCGCUCUACUCGCAGCCAAACCACAUCUCUCCCUUCCUCCAAAGCCCUCCUUAGAAGACAUCUUCGAGGGAUUUUUUUGGAGCUUAUCAUAUAUAGAUUACUGCAAAGGACCAGUGUGGCCCAGUGGAAAGGCCGCGAGCCUGGGAGUCAGAGCCGCUGGCUUCCAAUUCCGGCUCCGUCACCUGCCUGCCGCGUGAGCUUGGGUAAGUCACUUCACUUCUCCUGGCCUCAGUUUACUCAUCUGGAAAAUAGGGUUUCCAUACCUAAGCUCGUCUCUAGCCUGUAAGCUCACCUGUAGACUGUGAGCCUGUUGUGGGCAGGGAAUAUAUGUGUUUACUCUCCCAAGCACUUAGUAAAUGCUCAGUAUAGAUGAUUGAAUACCUGUUUUCCCCUCUUCCUUAGACGGUGAGUUCCAUGUGGGACGGGGGCUGUGUGAGACCUGAUUAUCCUGCAUCUACCCCAGCGCUUAGCACAGAGCUUGGCACAUAACAAAUACCAUAAAAAUAAUAAUGAUAACUUAUGAAGAUAUGUAGUAACGGUACGUUUUAGGUGCUACUCAUCCUUUUAAAAUCGCCAUGCACGUUGCCUCCAUAACCCGAUUUGGUCCAUUCUUUUCCCAGGUUUCUGCAACGAUCAUCACCUCAAGGCUGGUGACUAAUUCCCCCGCACGUAGUAAGCACUCAAGAAAUACCACUGAUUGAUCGAUGAUUGGUUAAGCGCUUAGUACAGGGCUCUGCACACGGUAAGCGCUUAAUAAACACGAUAGAAGGAUUGAAUGAAGGACUGAUACGCCUUGCCAUAGUGUAAGGACUGCCAUGAUGCUGAUGCAGAUUCUCAAGGAGCCAAAGAACGCUCUGUGGUCGGUCCUGUAGACUGUAAGCUUGUUGUGGGCAGGGAACUUGUACAGUGUUGUAUUGUACGCUUCCAAGCGCUUAGUACAGUACUCCUUACACAGUAUGUGCUCAAUAAAUACCAUUGACGAUCAUGAUG